GAUGAACGCUGGCGGCGUGCUUAACACAUGCAAGUCGAACGAUGAAGCCCAGCUUGCUGGGCGGAUUAGUGGCGAACGGGUGAGUAACACGUGAGUAACCUGCCCUUGACUCUGGGAUAAGCCCGGGAAACUGGGUCUAAUACCGGAUAGGAGCGCCUGUCGCAUGACGGGUGCUGGAAAGAUCUUUCGGUCAUGGAUGGACUCGCGGCCUAUCAGCUUGUUGGUGAGGUAACGGCUCACCAAGGCGACGACGGGUAGCCGGCCUGAGAGGGUGACCGGCCACACUGGGACUAAGACACGGCCCAGACCCCUACGGGAGGCAGCAGUGGGGAAUAUUGCACAAUGGGCGAAAGCCUGAUGCAGCGACGCCGCGUGAGGGAUGACGGCCUUCGGGUUGUAAACCUCUUUCAGCAGGGAAGAAGCGAAAGUGACGGUACCUGCAGAAGAAGCACCGGCUAACUACGUG
rnacentral:rRNA from 1 species